rnacentral:sRNA from 1 species
GAGGCACUGUGUGACCUGCGAUCUGAAUGGAUGACGGACACGCCACGCUGACAGCUGAGCAAGGAAGCAUCCCGGGCAGGGGCACAGCCAGUGGCCGGGGCAGGCACGAGCUGGAUGUGUGAAGCAGCAAGGUGUCCGUGGGACCAAGGCCCAGCAAGCAAAGGGAGAGUGGCAGAGAGGUUGGCGGAGCUUGGAGCCUGCAGAGCCCUGCGGACCACUGAGGAGUCUGGAGUUGUUCCCAACCAGCUUUUGAAGGCUUUUAAGUGGGGGAGUACGUGGCCUUUGGUUGUGCUGUUAACCACCUUCCGCUUCUUCCCCAGCAAAAAAGGGAGACGCUGUCCCCGCUGUGCCUCAUCCCCAUGGUGACAUCUCCCCGGGAGGAGCAGCAGCUCCUGGCCAGCACCUCCAAGCCCGUGGUGAAGCUCCUGCACAACCGCAGUAACAACAAGUACUCCUACACCAGCACUUCAGAUGACAACCUACUUAAGAACAUCGAGCUGUUCGACAAGCUGGCCCUGCGCUUCCACGGGCGGCUACUCUUCCUCAAGGAUGUCCUGGGGGAUGAGAUCUGCUGCUGGUCUUUCUACGGGCAGGGCCGCAAAAUCGCCGAGGUGUGCUGCACCUCCAUUGUCUAUGCUACGGAGAAGAAGCAGACCAAGGUGGAAUUUCCAGAGGCCCGGAUCUUCGAGGAGACCCUGAACAUCCUCAUCUACGAGACUCCCCGGGGCCCAGACCCAGCCCUCCUGGAGGCCACAGGGGGAGCAGCUGGAGCUGGUGGGGCUGGCCGUGGGGAGGAUGAAGAGAA